UACAGAGGUCUCAAGCGUUGUUCGGAUUCAUUGGGCGUAAAGGGUGCGUAGGUGGCGCCGUAAGUCAGGUGUGAAAUUUCGGAGCUUAACUCCGAAACUGCAUUUGAUACUGCGGUGCUUGAGGACUGGAGAGGAGACUGGAAUUCACGGUGUAGCAGUGAAAUGCGUAGAGAUCGUGAGGAAGACCAGUGGCGAAGGCGGGUCGCUGGGCCGAUACUGACGCUGAGGAGCGAAGCGUGGGGAGCGAA
rnacentral:rRNA from 1 species